AGCCUCUUCAUAAGCCUGCACUAAAGACACUGAAGCUUGUGAUCACCCGUGUCAGGACAAGGAAUGGCAUCUCCCUAACAGGACUCAAGAGCCUUUGCCAUUAUCUGUGGUAUUAAGCAGGUUUCAAUUAGGAUUUUAGGUGGAUUUUUUUCUUUGUUCCGCAGAAGUUUUAAUCAAGGCAGAAAAACUCUGACGCCUCAUUCUCCUCACAACAGUCAGUCACCAAAGCGUUGCAUUUUUCUUCCUGAAGCUUCCCCUCCCUCGGGCACAUUUUUAGCAAAAAAGAUGAGAUCCCAAGCUCUCCAGAUGUUGCCUCUCAGAUGUGCCUCAGCACGCAUCUCAGAGCCAUCUGGCCGCAGCAACAGCUGGACUGCUUCCAAGUGGAAGUGCUCACAGGUGUCUCAGGGUAAUGAUGGAUAACCGUAGGUCGAGAUGACCGUUCAGCAGAAGAGACUAGAGGACUUAGCUGACUUGCAGAAACUGCUCAUUGUGGACAGCACACCUCUGAGGGAGGCCGGGAACUUGGCAGCAGACUUCAAGAAAGCAGCAGGAGAUCUAGCUGUCCUGGGCUGCCUUUCUCCACGGUAGCAGGCAGAGGGAGCCAAGCAGAGAUGGGAGCUCUAGGAGAUUUUCCCACUGAUGCCCCUAGGCACCCCAGUCCUGGGCAGCCUCUUCUCAGACUGCCAAGGAGCCACCAUUGCAACUGAUGGCCUCGUCCUGUGAGAACAACCAUGCGUCAGGCACUGGCUAUACGGACUGAGAAGCUGAAAACUGAUCAGAGUCAAGCUGAGCCUAUUGACCGCUUUCCAUGUCCACAGAGAUAAACACGAACAAACCUAAGAUAAAACCCCACUGAGUGCACUUCCCUGGGACCAUUUCGAGAGCUUCCGACCUCUGGGAACACAUAUGUGAGCCAGCAGGAUGGCCACAUCACCCACAGGGCAGUGUAGAGGUGGAUGCCAAACGCAGAGAAACUGAGUCAUAAAUGCCUGUAACUCUUCCUGUGGGUGUGAGGAUCCUAUCUCUCAACCCAGCUUGAAUGGGAUUUGUUUCUGCAACUGGAAUAAUCUUAAAUUAUCCAUUCUGACACCAGAGACUCAGCACUUUCAGUUUCAGAGUUCAUCAUGAUGGUGGGAAACAUGGCAGCAUGCAGGAAGACAUGGUACUGGAAGAGCCAAGACUUCUACAUCUUGAUUUGAAAGCAGCCAGGAAGAGGGACUAUCUUGCAUAGGGAUCCAGGAGUGGACUCUUUUCCACACUGGGUAGGACCUGAGCAUAAAAGUCUCAAAGCUCACCUCUACAGUGACAUGCUUCCUCCAACAAGGUCACACCUACUUCAACAAGGUCAUACCUCCUCAUAGUGCUACUCCCUGGGCUAAGCAUAUUCAAACUAUCACAAAUAUGAAGUAGUUAGAUGUCAUUUACAAUGAAGGUUGAAACUUAUCAAAGGGAAUAUAAGUCAAUUUCCUCCUGGUGAGACACCAGAUUUUAUAAAUUUAUUUUUAGUUUUCAUUUGCUCUGUUACAACAACCUGACUUUAUUAGGAGGUAGAACCUGGUUGGUUGAAGUAGGACACUGAGGAUGUAUCUGGACCCAUGUCCCUGCCCCUCCUAUUUUCUGAUUACUGUCCGUCACAAGUGGGUGCCUUACCUUAUCACAUAGUCUUACAGCCCUGAAGUUUUGACUCACCACAGGCUCUUCCUCUAACUGAGCUGAAAACUCACACCAGUACCCUGGAGAUGGACUUGGGGUUACUGGAACCUCUGUCUGGUCCUCCUCCCAGUGCACAUUGAUGAACUCACCCAUUUUUUGAUUUUCACCAUUGCCUCUCUCUUUAAUCAGUGUACUGGGGAUGAGUGGCCAAGCAGAACCUGAGAUUUUUGCCCUAAAAUUCUUGUUACAAAAGUUCUAAAACUGUGAGAUAAAUCUUUCUUUCAAGCUGU
rnacentral:lncRNA from 1 species